CAGGAAUAUGGAUAACAAUAUUACAAAAAUCCAGUAAGGAUCCACAUUUAUAAGAAAGCUACAUACUGAACAGAUCUUCCAUUUUUCUAUCAGAACCAAUUCACUUCUGACAUUGAACACCGCAGCUGCAAUUUUACCUGCUACUUUUGAGUACUACAUUGCCGUAUCCCCACGAGCAGCACACGUCCUAGUGUCGUAGCACACAUAGGAUUUUCAGUAUUCUCAUCGUGUCAUAUACUCUCCCUUCCUCUAUUUGAGAGGUCCCCAUAAUAACGUCGGUGUACUAUAGCAUUUACCCUGCCCUUCCUCUCAGAAAACACCCCUUUUUGGAAUAACAGCACCUAUCCAACACCAUAUCUUCUGUUCCACCCCGCUUCUGAUUUUAU